rnacentral:lncRNA from 1 species
CAGAACCGAACAAGCUGCUGAAAGAUAUCUUUUGUUUGACCAAUUGAUUCUUUACCUGAAAGUUGCAGCCAGGUAACCACUGUUUCACUAUAUUCUUUUUGUCAUCUUUUUUGUAGUUGUUCUUUCAGACAAAUAGGAUUAACAAAUGCUUGGCCAUGCUCAAAACCGUUGAUUCAAAUGUUCUGGGCAGUAAUGCUGCUCCUGUUGUUUCAUUCACAAGAUCUUAUAGUCCUGACUCAGAUGAAAAUGAAUUGAAUUUUUGUUUCUUAACUUUUGUUGUGUUACAACAUCUGUUUCAGGAAAACAGGGUUUAGAAUCAUUGUAAGAACAACCUAGAUCUGGUACGUGCAUAUGCUCCCUUUUUAUAAUAAACACAGAAGAAUUAGCAGUAGCAGUUACUUACUUACUGGUUAUGGUUUGGUUUGAAUUGAUUUUUACAUGUGCUUCUUACAACACCAGCUGGGAGGAUAACUGAAAUCAGAAAAGCUUCAGAAGGUUUUGUUUACCUUAUACAUAAUUCAUUAUUAACAGAAUUUUGUCAUGAAUGGAAGUUACUUCUGACGCAUAGAAUUUACACUGGGUUAUUGAGAUAUUUAUUGUAGAGUCAAUCUACAGUGCCAGGUUUAUGAAUUGAGAUAAUAACUCCUAUGCAAAACAUCUUGUGUCUUCUUGAUACUUCUCUUUCUGAAAACACUACACAUAUUUCUGUUAAUUUAUCAUUUCAUUUGCUUCUGUCAUGCACCUUGGCAUUUUCAUGUUCUUUAUACAAAAUUUCCCAUGCAGAUUCUGAAGGCUAGAGAAGUCAAGCUUUAGCAUUCUUGAAAUUAUGCUGAUUGUUUCUAGGGAACUCUACUGACAGGUAAUGCAUGCAUGGACAUUUUUAUUACUAAUGUCUGGACAUGGUACUCUGCCCAUUAAUGAUGUCUUAUAUUUGCCUUUCAUUCUUAGUUCUGACUGAACUCUUGUUGACUCUUAAUUGUUUGCCAGAUUUGCUAGACAAAUAAGAAUAUUAUACACCCUCUAUCUAAAAUUUUGUCCAUUGCAUGCAUGAACAUUUUUAUUACUAAUGUCUGGACAUGGUACUCUGCCCAUUAAUGAUGUCUUAUAUUUACCUUUCAUUCUUAGUCCUGACUGAACUCUUGUUGACUCUUAAGCGUUUGCCAGAUUUGCUGGACAAAUAAGAAUAUUGUACACCCUCUAUCUAAAAUUUUGUCCAUUGCAUGCAUGAACAUUUUUAUUACUAAUGUCUGGACAUGGUACUCUGCCCAUUAAUGAUGUCUUAUAUUUGCCUUUCAUUUUUUUAGUCCUGACUGAACGCUUGUUGACUCUUAAGCAUUUGCCAGAUUUGCUGGACAAAUAAGAAUAUUUGUACACACUCUAUCUAAAAUUUUGUCCACUGAGAGGAAUAUUAUUAAUAUAAUACUAUUUAUCUGUCUAUUGGCAUCUCAUGCCAGAAAACUGAACAACGGCGAAAUAAGAUAUAUAAAUUUCAGACAGUAGAUGUAUUUGAUUGGCCACUUGAUUUUUAUUUCAGACCUGAGUUAGUGCUUCAAAAUAUGAAAUUGUAGAGGUUAUGUGAACUUUUUUCUUUAACUAUCCAAAUGGCAACUGAAAUUUUUAUUUCUUCAAUGAACUAUCAUGUGAUGGUAGGUCCCAUGCAGCAGCAUCUUUGUUGUGCUACUGGUUUCACGGUGAUAUAAAUGACAUUGAGUUUUUUAUUCACAGACACUAACUCUAAGUAUGUCCAGAUUUUCCUUCAAACUGGUUAUCUGUAUUUAUUGAUUUGAAUGAUAUGUGGUCUCCCUUGUUGGGUCUUAUCUUGUUGUUCCUCUUCGACAUUAUGUCAUUAUUAUCUACGAGGGCAAUCAACUAUAAUUUGUAUAUAUCAUCAAUUUUUGUAUGUCUUAAUGUCAAAAAAAAAUCAAGCGAGAUGUUUUCCUCGGAAAAAUAUAUCAAGUUGGACGUCGGCAAUCAAUUAGAAUUUGUAUGUGUCAUCAAUUUUUGGAUGCCUCUUUAAUGAAUCAAGCUUUACGUUGGUAACUAAAGUAGAAAUUUGUAUAUAUCAUCACUUUUUUAUGUCGUUUUUAAUUAAUCAAUUCAUCAUUGGGUUAGUCAUUAAAUUUUUUUCCUUUUGCUAUGCACACUGAUAUAUGUAUGUUCCAGCUUGCAUCACAGGAAAUGAAAGUGUAUGUUAUUAAGGCAAUGGAUGGUGUGUUGUCAGAAUGAUCUAUCUCUAUUGUAUUCAACGUUUUGCCUUGUGUCUCCACGCUCGUUGUCUAUUUCUAGGACAAGAUUUUUAUGUGAGUGCUUUUGCCGGCGUUCAAAUAGAUGAUACUAUACAAUUUUAUGAAAAGGGUCCAUGACCAUCUUUUUUUUUGUUAAAUCAUUCAUGUCAAUUGUAUUAUUUAUUAGCCACCGUCGCAAUUAGUGACCACAAACUUUGGAAUAUUUUUGCACA